UUUUGGCAUCACGCCGAACUGUCAGCCGAUUGGUUUGUACGGUUUGGCGGGUGCUCUCCUUCCGGAAGCUCGUUCCCUUCUUAGUUGACGGGUUCGAUGGUUCCGGGUCUUUUACUUUGAAAAAAUUAGAGUGUUCAAAGCAGGCCUAUGCUCUGAAUAGGUUAGCAUGGAAUAAUAGAAUAGGACUUUGGUUCUAUUUUGUUGGUUUCUAGGACCGAAGUAAUGAUUAAUAGGGACAGUUGGGGGCACUCAUAUUCCAAUGUCAGAGGUGAAAUUCUUGGAUUAUCGGAAGAUGAACUUCUGCGAAAGCAUCUGCCAAGGAUGUUUUCAUUGAUCAAGAACGAAAGUUAGGGGAUCGAAGACGAUCAGAUACCGUCGUAGUCUUAACCAUAAACUAUGCCGACUAGGGAUCUGGAGGCGUUAUUUUAUACGACCCUUCAGGCACCUUAUGAGAAAUCAAAGUCUAUGGGUUCCGGGGGGAGUAUGGUCGCAAGGCUGAAACUUAAAGGAAUUGACGGAAGGGCACCGCCAGGAGUGGAGCCUGCGGCUUAAUUUGACUCAA
rnacentral:rRNA from 1 species